GUGCCCGUAGCUCAACUGGAUAGAGCGUCUGACUACGGAUCAGAAGGUUGAGGGUUCGAGUCCUUCCGGGCACGCCA
rnacentral:tRNA from 1 species